UUUGAAGGAAGGCCCUUGUAGUAUCUACAUCACUAAUCAAUCUAAGUCCAAAGUUCAACAAGACCAAAUUGGCCAGGUAAGUAGGUAAAAGGCACUCUGUAGCUUUUCUAGAUACCAACAGAGUUGAUCAGACCAGCAUACGGAUCUAAUUAGAAAAUUAUCUAUCACACUUUUUUCGACACCAAUUGAUCUAAAGAAUUUGACUUUAGAAUUGAAAGUAAAUCUCGACAUUACAACUUAAUAUAAUUUUUACGAAGGACUUUAAACUGAUCUCGACACAUCCUACAACUAC
rnacentral:lncRNA from 1 species